rnacentral:lncRNA from 1 species
ACGGUCCACCCGUUAUAAUAUAAUUUUAGCUCUUUAAUUAUUUUUUAUAAUUAUUUUCUCUUGACCUCCCAAUUAAUUUCUGUAACUUUCUCGUAAAGGACCACUUAAGUGACGUCACACGUCGACGUCUGCGGAACAAUUGUAGAAUCGUUCCGUGACAUUUAAUUCAUGUUCUGUGGUCGUUUGAGAUGCUCCUCUUGGAAGGUGAGGGAGAAGUUCCGUGGCACGUGGCACUUGUGGUUGGAGAUUCAACGAGCAUGGAUGGGUGGCGUGUGCAAAUAGUAGGUCAAAUUUAGAGGUUAGACCUCCAAUAUGUGAAUUUUGGAGUUUGGAUCACCAAAAACUUAUUUGUGGAAGGAAUAAGUAAUUAAUCCAAUGGGAUUUCUGCACAACAUCAUCGUAUCACACGCCACCCAUGUGAGAACUUAAAACACCUCGAAACACCGUGAGGCCAAUCUCCAACCAUAAGUCGCCAGGGAAUACGUCUUUUUGGGAACAAGCUAUGGGAGCGUUCCAGCUCAAUUUUCGUCUUGGCACCUGGGCCUACAGGAGUCAUGGGGUCGCACCAUCCUGGUGCAUCAUUUUCUAGGAUGCAACCGCAACCUCGUUUGGGAACAUUUAGUGAGGUGUUUUAGUAACUAUUGGUUUUUUUAUAUUUCAGACUAUCUGUUAAAUACACUAUGUUUUUUUCCAGAUUUAGGUUACCUCUGGUUUUUUUUUUGACAUAUUUGUAUAUUAGAUUAUUUGGUUCCCAAACUUUGUAUCUACGGUAACUUCUUGUGCACAGGAAUAAGCCUAGAGAAAAUUAGGUUUUUAAUACUUUAUUAUUGGUUUAUGUAAUUCGGGUAAAUUUAUUUUGUAAUAUUACUUGCUUGUUUCCCAAAUAUUUUAUUGUUAUUUGCUUUAUUCCAUUUGUUCGGUUAAUUUAUGUCAUCGUCGGUAUUUAUCUCAACUUCAUUUCUACUUUAGUCAAUUGUAUAUUUAACUUUAUUUAUUCAUUAUUGUAUUUUCCCUUAGUGAGGCUUGGG